rnacentral:rRNA from 1 species
UGAGGAAUAUUGGUCAAUGGACGCAAGUCUGAACCAGCCAAGUCGCGUGAAGGAAGACGGUCCUACGGAUUGUAAACUUCUUUUGUACUAGAGUAAAACGGGGUAUGCAUACCCCCUUGCAAGUACAGUACGAAUAAGCAUCGGCUAACUCCGUGCCAGCAGCCGCGGUAAUACGGAGGAUGCAAGCGUUAUCCGGAUUUAUUGGGUUUAAAGGGUGCGUAGGCGGGUUCUUAAGUCAGCGGUGAAAGUUUGAGGCUCAACCUUAAAAUUGCCGUUGAAACUGGGAACCUUGAGAGUAAAUGAAGUAAGCGGAACUCGUGGUGUAGCGGUGAAAUGCAUAGAUAUCACGAAGAACCCCAAUUGCGAAGGCAGCUUACUAAGCUACAACUGACGCUGAAGCACGAAAGCGUGGGUAUCAAACAGG